AUCUCCUCCAGCUCAAAUUUAUGGUGCAUUAUGUCCACAUUCUGGGAACAGGCAGGCCCAGGAGGAUUCUCAUGUUGACCCGAAGCCAGAUGCUGCGAUGGAGGUAGAGCCUGCAGGCUUACCUGUCGCCCUGCUGCCCUGUGAUUAGAGCAACACCUUGGAGAGAAGUCAGAGGAGAGAAGUCAGAGGAGCGACAGCUCACCUGAGAUGCUCCUGCAAGAGAGAGCUUGGUUGACUCCUCCUGUUCCUGUUUAUCUCGAAGCCUCUGCAGCAAUUUUGCCAAACUGAACAGCAAGAGGGAGACCUCAAAGAGGC